GACGAACGUUGGCGGCGUGCCUAAUACAUGCAAGUCAACUGAAAUACCGGUAGCAAUACUGGUAUGGAGGUGGCGCACGGGUGAGUAACACGUAGGUAAUCUGCCUUCAGGUCUGACAUAACCCAUCGAAAGGUGAGCUAAUAUCAGAUGAUGCAGCGGCUUGACAUCAAGACAGUUGUUAAAGCUUCGGCGCCUGAAGAUGAGCCNGCGUCUGAUUAGCUAGUUGGCGGGGUAACGGCCCACCAAGGCUGCGAUCAGUAGCUGGUCUGAGAGGAUGAUCAGUCACACUGGAACUGAGACACGGUCCAGACUCCUACGGGAGCAGCAGUAAGGAAUAUUGCUCAAUGGCCGAAAGGCUGAAGCAGCAACGCCGCGUGAGGGAUGAAGGGUCUUUUGC
rnacentral:rRNA from 1 species